rnacentral:tRNA from 1 species
UCCCUGGUGGCUCAGAGAGUAAAGAAUCUGCCUGCAAUGCAGGAGACCCAGGUUUGAUCCCUGGUUCAGGAA